AUUGGAGCCAAUGCCAAUGCCAAUGCCAAUGCCAAUGCGUCACUUAACAUAUUCUCUCCAUUCAACUCUAUGGCUUCACUCUGCCUCAAUCUCAAUUCCUUCCAUCCUCCUUCUUCCUCACACCAACCUCCUACUCUCUUCGAUUCCUCAUUACCUUCUUCUUCUUCUUCUUCUUCUUCUCUUAAUCGUAGUAACACCUUAAAGCCUAUCGUCGUCACUGGAAAUCCUCCCACUUUCGUCUCUGCUCCUGCUCGCCGAAUCGUUGCUGUUGGGGAUUUGCAUGGAGACCUUAAACAAACUAGAUUGGCGCUUGAGAUGGCUGGUGUAUUGGGCUCUGACACUCGCAACUUGUGGACUGGUGGACAAACGGUGUUGGUUCAGCUUGGAGAUAUACUGGACAGAGGAGAAGAUGAAAUAGCCAUAUUGUCUUUAUUGAGAUCAUUGGAUGUCCAAGCAAGAGCCCAAGGUGGUGCAGUCUUUCAGGUGAAUGGGAAUCACGAGACUAUGAAUGUGGAAGGGGAUUUCAGAUAUGUUGAUUCUGGGGCUUUUGAUGAGUGUCUGAAUUUCUUGGAAUACAUGGAAGACUAUAGAGAUCACUUUGAGGAGGCUUUUCUUAAUUGGAUCCAAGUCUCAGAAAGGUGGAAAGAUCAGAGGAAAUCACAAAACUUUUGGGGUCCUAUGAAUUUGGUGAAGAAGCAAAAAGGCGUGGUUGCUAGAUCAAUCUUAUUUAGACCCGGUGGUCGUUUGGCACGUGAGUUGGCAAGACAAGCAGUUGUUCUUAAAGUUAAUGACUGGGUCUUCUGUCAUGGUGGUCUUCUUCCUCACCAUGUUUCAUAUGGCAUCGAGAGGAUGAACCGGGAAGUAUCCCAGUGGAUGAAGGGCCUUGAUGAAAGUAGUAAUAGUUCCUUUCCUUUCAUCGCAACUAGGGGCUAUGAUAGUGUUGUAUGGAACAGAUUAUACUCAAGAGAUUUUGGAGAUUUGGAAGACUUCGAGAGCGAACAGAUAAAUUCAAUUCUCAAAGACACAUUAGAAGCAGUUGGUGCGAAGGCAAUGGUUGUAGGCCACACUCCUCAAAUGGCUGGAGUAAACUGCAAAUAUGAUUGUAGCAUUUGGCGAGUUGAUGUUGGGAUGUCUAGUGGAGUUCUUCACUCGAGACCUGAGGUACUAGAAAUCAGAGACGACAAAGCUAGAGUUAUCCGGAGCAAGAGGGAUAGAUUUAGUAGGGAACUUCAAGUUGUUAACUAUAUAUAGCAAGGUAUUGAUAAACCAUAAAUUAAAGACCAUCUCUUUCUCCUUCAUCAUAUUUCUCGCAAAUUAAAACAGAAAUUAGAACGAUUUCUUGGUCCAGUGUCUUCUGGUUCAAUGGGCUUGAAAGCUGUAACCUUUGAAAUACCAAAAGUAUUCAAAAUCAUAACAAUCAGAAGCUUAACAAAUUGUGAAGCCAAAUUCAACUGUAGUCUUAAAUACCUUACAAUUUGUGUUUGACAGAAGAAGAAUCUGCAUCAUGUUUCCUUUAUGUGGUGUGGUUUAGAAUUUAGAUACACCUCAGGUCAUCUAUCCUUCAGCUUUGGAUUCUGCUGUUUGCAAAAAUUAUUACAUCUCAUGGAAACACAAUCAGUUACAUUCAUGACGUCAAGACGAGCACAUGUAGAAGCAGCAGCAGAGAUGCCUUGAUGACUUCCGGUAAGAAAUCAACCUCAAUGCUAUCCCUUCCAUUACUUCAGUGUUCAGUCAAUCUGAUUUUAUAAAACACUGAAUUUUAACCAUUGAAACCCACUUCCACGGGAGUUGUUCUUGUUCAUAUGUACAGUACACCAUAUUUGUAAUAUAAUACAUCAUCAGUUGUUGAA